rnacentral:rRNA from 1 species
AUACUGAGGGUGCAAGCGUUAAUCGGAAUUACUGGGCGUAAAGCGCGCGUAGGCGGUUAAAUAAGUCAGAUGUGAAAUCCCUGGGCUCAACCUAGGAACUGCAUCUGAAACUGUUUAACUAGAGUUUUGGAGAGGUAAGUGGAAUUUCCGGUGUAGCGGUGAAAUGCAUAGAGAUCGGAAGGAACACCAGUGGCGAAGGCGACUUACUGGCCAAAAACUGACGCUGAGGUGCGAAAGCGUGGGUAGCGAACAGGAUUAGAAACCCUAGUAGUCC